CACCACAAACCCUCACAUCGCACCGAUCCCUCAAAAGCCUUUAUUUCACAUUCACAAACGAGGAGCAGUCCAAAAAAAAAACGAGUGAAACAUUCAACAUGAAGUCUAGCCCCAGGGUUAGACAGGCCUCUGCAUGAGAACAGCAAGCAAGGGGGCAACGGCGAGAAAAUGUCGGUGGGCGGGCAAUUCCUCAGCCGAGAGGCCAGCGGCGAAAGUGAGUGGGCCCGGGCGGUGCAGCGGGAGCCGGCACCGGCGGGCAGAGGUGGAGGAGCAGUGGGAACUCCCUGGGGAGGAGAAGGCGCAUUUGAGAGAAUUACCCAGAUCAAUGGAUCAAACCAAAGCACUACUGAUGACAGCUUAAAAGGACAUUGAUGAAUACGCCAUGCUGGAUGCCCACCCUCCACCGACAAUGUGCAUGUGUAGAGUCGAUGACAUUUCAUUAAAGAGCAUAAGGUACCCUUGCAUAACCUGGAUCGCUGGUAUAAGUACCAAAGUCCACUUUAAUUUGCCACCUACCAAUCAUCUACAAUGUAUUGCAAUUAACCUUAUAACCACAUUAGGAUAUUUCAUUUUAUAAUCUGACCACUACAGCCCUUCAGUUACUAAAUAAUUUGAUUGUUAAAUUAAAUGAUAAACCAUA